rnacentral:rRNA from 1 species
AUGCCGCUCUCUCUCCGCUCUCUGCGCCGAUUGGACUUCCAGAAGUUCAUUGCCUCGUACGAUGGAAAACUGGCCGGAUGGAUCGGCAAUCUUUUGACCAAGGAUGGGCGGCUUGCUCUGGCUCGUUCGGUCCUUUGUGCGCUACCAGUCUACAUGAUCUUGAUCCAUCCAUUCCCUAAAUGGCUGUUGCAAUGGAUAGAAAAGUGCACGAGGGCCUGGGUAUGGAGGGGUGCUGAAUCUUGCAAUGGUGGGCACUGUCGGGUCAGCUGGCUUAAUGUUUGCAAGCCUCUGCUUCUGGGAGGCUUGGGUCUGAAAAACCUGCAGAAGUUUGGGUCGGCGUUGCGCCUUCGGUGGCUGUGGUACCGAUGGGAUGAUCACUCCAGGACUUGGUCUGGAUUGCCGGUGCCAUGCUCGAAUGAAGAGUUCGCCAUGUUCGCCUCCGCAACUUCGGUCACUUUGGGGGAUGGUUGCACUGCCCUGUUCUGGUUUGACUCUUGGUUGGAUGGUAUGGCGCCGCGUGAUCUAGACCCGACCCUGUUUCAAGCCUCGGCAAGGAAGAAGAGGACUAUUGCAGGGGCCAUGGCGGGCUCGGCAUGGCUGAAGGAUCUAUCCGCCAGCUUCAAGGAUGAGUUGCUCGACGAGCUGAUUUACCUGUCCUCGAGUGUCAGCAGCCCUGACAGUUCGGCCCCCACGUCCAGCGACUCGCCACCAGCUGCAACAGAACCACGUCCGCAGCGCACCCGGAGGCCCAGCACGCGAGUCACUGGGCCGGCCUGGGUCCAGUGA